GCGAGCGAUAGCGGAGGAAUUGUCUCAAACAGAUAAUUAAGAUGAUUGGACAUCUAGACUAAACCCCGAUAGACACCUAUAUAUAAAGUACCGUGAGGGAAAGACUCAGAAUUGGUUCUAAAAGUUACCUUUUGCAUAAUGGGCCUGCAAGAUAAGAUUUGGCAAGCUUAAGUAUUGAAUGAAGGCGUAGUGAAAGCAAGAGAAAAACUCGUCAGUCAAAUCUCCCGAAACCAAGUGAUCUAACCAUGGCCAGGUAGGAGUAUACUCCUGACCGAACCAGUGAUUGUGGCAAAAAUCUUGGAUGAGCUGUGGUUAGCGGUGAAAUACUAGUCGAACUUGGAUAUAGCUGGUUCUCUACGAAACUUAUCUUAGUAAGGCAUUCCAAGUUGAUUCGCCCCCAAACCAGGGGGCCUGAAUUACUGGUGUAGUCAGACUAUGGCGAUAAGGCCCCUAGUCAAAAGGGGUAAGCCCUAACCAUAAAUUAAAGUCGCUAAUACAGAUUAAGUGUAUAAAGAGGGUCCGACUUAGACAAACAGGAAGUAGGCUUGGAAACAGCCAUCUGCACAGGAAAACGUAAAAGUUCACUGAAUGAGCUAGGAAACUCUAAGAAUUAAGGCGGCUAAAUCUGUAACUGAAAUUAUGGGAGCCAGAUGGCAACCGUAAGGAAGCAUCAAUUGGCUUGGUAGUAGAGCGUUCUGUAUGCAUCCACCUCGUGAGAUAAACAGAAGUGAUAAUGCAGGCAUGAGUAGUACAGGAUUCACUCCCAAAUAAAAUGUUUAUACAACUCCUAAGGGCAUUACGCCCGAUGGAUUAUAAUUCUUGUACCUGUUCAGGAAAAUUAUUAUAGUGCAUAGCACUUACUUUCGAUUGUUAUUUAUGGGACUUAGAUCUAGGCAUAAUUUCUCUUAAGGAACUCGGCAAAAUAAGAUCUCGACUGUUUACCAAAAACAUAGCUCUCUGCUAAAGGUUUACUGAAGUAUAGAGGGUGAAUUCUGCCCAAUGGUUGUAUAGUGAAACUGAGGACUAACGUCUAAAGCGAAACCCAACUGAAUGGCCGCGGUAACUCUGACCGUGAUAAUGUAGCACAAUAAAUAGCCAAUUAAUUGUUGGCGGGUAUGAAUGGAACCACGAGGGUCUUACUGUCUCAAGAGGAAAGCCGAUGAAAUUAUAAUUGUAGUGAAGAUACUACAUAAACAUUGUAAGACGAAAAGACCCUAUCGAGCUUUACUGGAUACCGAUAGCGUUAAUUUAGAAUGAUCGAUACUAAGUAUCCUAAUUCUAAGUUAAUAAUUUUUGUUGGUAGGACAGUUUAGUUGGGGCGACUACCUUUGAAUAAGAAACGAAGGCGAGCUUAUGGUAUUAAUAAAAUCUCAUUAGCCUGACAGUGAGGGGGACACCCCUAGCUGGCACAAGGAAACCCCGCGGGGGUUCCUUGUGGGCGAUAGUAACCCGAUAUGAUUAUCCAAAAUAAAUAUCGAAAGCGGAUAAAAGCUACCGUAGGGAUAACAGCGUAAUAUUGUCGGAGAGUUCUUAUCGAGGACAGUGUUUGCGACCUCGAUGUUGAAUUGCGGUGCCCUGGUGCUGUAGAAGGUACCUUAGGUUGGUCUGUUCGACCAUGAAAACCGUACAUGAUUUGAGUUCAGAGCGUGGUGACACAGCUCGGUUUCUAUCUACAAUGUUCAAUCCCAACUUUUAUGAGUCCUAGUACGCAAGGAAUGGUCUCAGCGAUGCUCGACUAUAUAGGCCCCAUCGACGUAAUCAACUUCUGGCUGCUGCAAAGAAGUCUAACAAAAGGUUUA
rnacentral:rRNA from 1 species